GACGAACGCUGGCGGCGUGCUUAACACAUGCAAGUCGAACGGAAAGGCCCUGCUUUUGUGGGGUGCUCGAGUGGCGAACGGGUGAGUAACACGUGAGUAACCUGCCCUUGACUUUGGGAUAACUUCAGGAAACUGGGGCUAAUACCGGAUAGGAGCUCCUGCUGCAUGGUGGGGGUUGGAAAGUUUCGGCGGUUGGGGAUGGACUCGCGGCUUAUCAGCUUGUUGGUGGGGUAGUGGCUUACCAAGGCUUUGACGGGUAGCCGGCCUGAGAGGGUGACCGGCCCCAUUGGGACUGGGAUACGGCCCGGACUCCUACGGGGGGCAGCGGUGGGGAAUAUUGAACAAUGGGAGGAAGCCUGAUGCAGCAACGCCGCGUGCGGGAUGACGGCCUUCGGGUUGUAAACCGCUUUCGCCUGUGACGAAGCGUGAGUGACGGUAAUGGGUAAAGAAGCACCGGCUAACUACGUG
rnacentral:rRNA from 1 species